rnacentral:rRNA from 1 species
GCCUAACACAUGCAAGUCGAGCGGCAGCACAAGUAAGUUUACUUAUGAGGUGGCGAGCGGCGGACGGGUGAGUAAUGCCUAGGGAUCUGCCCAGUCGAGGGGGAUAACAGUUGGAAACGACUGCUAAUACCGCAUACUGCCCUACGGGGGAAAGAGGGGGACCUUCGUGGCCUCUCGCGAUUGGAUGAACCUAGGUGGGAUUAGCUAGUUGGUGAGGUAAUGGCUCACCAAGGCGACGAUCCCUAGCUGUUCUGAGAGGAUGAUCAGCCACACUGGGACUGAGACACGGCCCAGACUCCUACGGGAGGCAGCAGUGGGGAAUAUUGCACAAUGGGGGAAACCCUGAUGCAGCCAUGCCGCGUGUGUGAACGAAGGCCUUCGGGUUGUAAAGCACUUUCAGUAGCGGAGGCAAAGGGUGAGUCUUAAUACGGCUCAUCUGUGACGUUACCUACAGAACGAAGGACCGGCUAACUCCGUGCCAGCAGCC